CACGACUCUCGGCAACGGAUAUCUUGGCUCUUGCAUCGAUGAAGAACGUAGCGAAAUGCGAUACUUGGUGUGAAUUGCAGAAUCCCGUGAACCAUCGAGUCUUUGAACGCAAGUUGCCCCCGAGACCUUUAGGUUGAGGGCACACCUGCUUGGGCGUCAUGC
rnacentral:rRNA from 1 species